UCAAACCCUGGUUUGAGAAACGUCUCCUCAGACCCUCGUUUCUCUCCCUCUCCCGCGUUUUUCUUCUUCUCAGUUGCAACGCCUUCUCUCGUCGGCGGCGUUCAGUUCCCGGAGUUAUCUAUCCAGGUUCGUAAUGACUCUGCUCUCGAUUUUGUGGGUUCGUAAUCGCUUGGUCCUCGAUUCGGAGCGUUCUUGAUCAUCACUAAAUUAUCAAUUUGUGCUUUAGUAUGCUUUUGUAAUAUUUUCUACGAGUUUUACCCAUGGAUUUUUUUUCAAGUAAUUGAAAUUCUGUGCCCUAACCCUAAUCUUAAACUUACCCGAUCGUAGGGGCUUCCGAAUGUUGCAUCUUCUCUCAGGUUUUUCCCCAAUUUUUUUUCCCUGUUCGAAACUGGUUCCAAAUAUAUAAUCAAUGGUGAUUAUGAAUAAUCCUCGAAUUUUAA